rnacentral:lncRNA from 1 species
GAAGAAAGUGGUGCUUAGUUGCUUCAUCUCUUGAGAUUACAAGGUGAGUUGUUAAGAACUUUUCCCUUUAGCUUUGCUAAUGUUCAAUUGGUGGCUUUAGUGGCUUAAUAUGAUGACAUAUGGUGUGAUUAUGGUUUGUUUAUGGUUGGAAGUGAAGUUAUGAUGGAUUUUGAUUUAUUAUUGUUAUUUUUCUGUUUUGUAUGAUACUCAUGGUUUGGUCAUGGAUUGAGGGCUUAGUAUAGUGUAAUAUGGAGUGAAUAAAUGUUGGAUACGAUUGGUUGCGGAAAUUUCUGGUUAGCACAGAAAAUGACGGUUUAGGGUUUUCAAACUUCCCUAUUCUGUCCGGUACUGUUGGACCUAGUUAGAGGCUGAAUUAGCCUUAGGUUAAAACAUGCAAGUUGUGGAGAAUGAUGUUUUAUAGUUGCUUGCAAAAUUUCAACCCAAUCUGAGCAACAUAGCCUAUGAAAAGACUGAAAUACCCCUGCUGCCCUGUUUCUGUCCGAAACUGAAAAUCAGCUUUGGUAAUUGGUUAAUUUGAUUGGGAAUACUACUGAUUUGGUUGUUGAUGUCUUCUUAAGAAAUAUAGCCUGGUAUCUUAGCUUUCAUAUGGCUUUGGAAUCACUUGAAUUGGACUUUGGUAGCCUGAAUUAUGGUUAUUUAACAAGAAUGCUAUUCGUUAACCUGUUUAUGCGGUUCUGGUUUGGUACAUUGAACUUUUGACCUAGUUUCACUGCAAACUGUACUGAGUUGCCUUCUUGAACAUUGUAGCCCUUUCUCUUAGUUUUGAAACGGUGUAAAUUGUACCCCCAAUCCGAUAAGUGUAGCUCCAGUUGUGUCUGUUCCGCUAAAUGACGUCAAAACUGUCUUUUGGUUUUAGGGUUUAUAAUUGGGGCUUUUCUAGGAUUUCUUUGUUGCGCAACCAUUUGGUUGUUUUGAAGGAUAUUGUGGCUCUAAUUAAAGGUGUUUGAUAAUCUGUGAUUGGGUGUUGAGGUUUGGUUGGAAAGUAAAGAAAGACAAGAGAAAUGCUGUCAAAAUUUUCGCGGAGCUUCUGCACAGUCUCGGAAAAUUUGCUAUAUCUUGAUGUAGGAAUGUCGGAAUUAAGUUCUGUUUGUUGCGUUCUAAACUAGAUUCAUAGAGCUAUAAACCAUGUAAAUUUCAGACCCUGCUUAUGUAUUUAUCAUUUAUGGCGAUUUUUCAAAGUUGACUGAAAUAUUGUACCUGUUCUGUCUUUCACUGGAUAAAGCGGCAAAUUGAGACUUGAAUUUGACUGACUUGCAUUCUGAAUCUUAUGAGGGUGUUCUCUGGAAAGUUAUAGCGCUUUGAAUCUAUUUUCCAACGGUAUAAACUUUUACUAAUUUAGGACUUACAAAACUUGAGAUAUGAUUUUUCAUAUAGGGUUGCACGAAACUGGAAAAUCCUGUUUUCCUAGUAUCGACCUUACUUUCAUUUUCUACUUCAAAUUUGGAGUUGGUCAGUCAUUGUAGGUAGGGCUUUGAGGUUGUUCAUGCCGUUAGGACUAAUUGUUACCUCUCACUCCGAGGUCACCUCUUUGCUUUGCAUUAAUGGUUCUUUUGACUAGGCAUAUGGCUCGUAACCGAGUCUCACUUGCGAAUUCCAUACUAGGUCUUGGAGUCGAGUCUUAAGUGUUUGCCUUGAUUGUUCUAGGAGGUGCCGACGAUUAAAGCCACACUUGGGAAGGAAACUUUUGAAAUUAUCCUUAUUUGAACUGGUGAGUGUACCACUCCCUUGCAUUGUUGCUAUUUGAGUUAUCUGUACUUGAAAUCUAUGACAUGAAUGAUUAUGAAUCCUGUUUAGUUUGAUUGAGACGAGGGUGUACUUUAUCACACUCGUUCUCUUGUCUGUGUUGUACCAACUGAAAUCUAUUACUUGUACUUGUUAUGAACUUGAGCCUGCUACUUGCACUUGUUAUAAUGUCGUUUAGAAGUGUGUCCAACGACCUUCUUGUUAAACCUGAGCUCAACCUCGUGGGGAGUUAAUUAAAUCGAGCCAUGCAAGGGCUUGGUCGAGGAAAUUGACAAUCCGUGGGUGCCUGUUUUUAUGGAAUCUUUGAGUAUUGAGACUCUUGAUUCCGGUAUACUCGAGUAUUACCAUUCCUGUUUCUAUUUAGCGUUCGGGCCCGGUAAGGGGGUAUGAUUGGUGAACUGGAUUUGACGAUAAAGUGGUGUUCUAUUGGACUGGUUUCCUUAUUUGAAAGUUGACGGAGGGUCAACGUAGUCGGAUCAAGUACUGCAACGGGGAAUUUGGGUCCUGAGAGCCACCUGUAUCCUUUUAUUUAAGUUGUUUUGUUCCUCUCCUUAUUUGAUACACCUAUGUGAUUAAUUGCGCAUGAAGUUCCUUGGUUCUUGACUGUUAUUAUUUUGGUACCUCAUUGAGCUUCUAGCUCACCCCGUUCCGUUAUCCUUGUUUUCCUUAUAGGAAACCACCUUUUGAAGACUCUGAUAUUUUGAAGCAUGAGUUGAGCUAGUUUUAGUAUUCUUUUGUAUAGCUCCUCGAUGGUUGGAAAAUCUUAAAUGUAUUUUAACCAAAAAAUUCCCUUUUGAAUUUUAAAUUUGCAACCAUGUGUAUAUAAAAGUGUUUAACCAUGUUCCUAAGUUGAUUUGGUUUGGAAAUAUUCCUUUCUAGGGUUAUCUAAAGUCGUUGUGCUUGUUUGGGUUUCGGACAGUGAAUGUUAUCUUCUCGAAGUUCUUUUGAGCGGUUGGUAGGGUUUACGCUCGUUCUGGAUCCGUAGUCCCGGCGAGAGUUGGGCAGGCGGUCCGCCGAACUCUUUGGUUCGCCUUAGGGGGAGGUGGGGCUGUCACAUUAGGGGCUGUUUUAAGGAGUUUUUCACACAAAAAAUCUAGGGUUUCUCGUGUUUGAAGAUAUAAAAUCUCCCAUCAAAACUCUUGCUUUCUUGUUUUAUUUCUUGGUUUUGAACCUUGUAGCUUCCUUAUUGUUGUUGUUGCUUGGAUUUGGUUGGCUGAAGUGGGCUCUAUGUGUGAGAUCCCGAUUCGUCCUUAAUUUUGAAUAAGGAUUAUUAGUGCUAAAUUUUGCUAUAAAAUUUGAUUUUAACGAUGAUGGUAAUUCUUUACAUGUGAUUUUGCUUUUAGAAUAAAAAAACUUUAAUUUGGAAUUUUAUUAAAACCCUAAUGGAUUUACAGCUUUGAUAUUUUUACACAAAACCCUAGUUUAUGUAUUAAUCAUAAGUUUAUGUGGUAGUAAAUAUUAUGCAUGCUAAUGUAUGUUUUCGUAUGAGUAGAUACCGGAUUCGAUUUCUUUUAUAAAUGUUAAGUAGGAUUAGAAAGUUACAAAGUCUUACACUAGUAAAUUCCCUAGUGUUUUGUUAAUUAAACAACCUUAAGUUGGGUUUAAAGCCCUUAAUUGAGCUAAUGUAAAAAGAUUGUGGUUUAGUUGCUUUUAUGUGGAAUAAGGAAUAAUUAAGGAUGGGUGAUUAAGAUAAUAAGGUGAUUAUUGAAAUGAUUAAGUGUGACAAAAUAUUUUGGAUUAGAAUAAGUUGUAUCCUAUGGAGUUAAGUGCAAGAGUUCCAAACAUUUGUGGGCAAGAGUGUGAGAAAACAAAAAGGAAGUUGCAAGGACUAGGAAGUGAAUAAUCAUAUUUUAUGUGAUUGGUUGUUUGGGAAAUAUCUCUUAUGGUUGAUGACUAAGCUUAUGACUAAGCAUAAUUCUAGAAUAUACAAGAGAAAACCAAGCUAAUAAACAACAAAAUAGCAAAAGAAAAAGAGAGAGAGAGAGAGCCAGAUUUGAGAGGGAAGAAAAAGGGAGAGAAAAGCUUUUGUUUCUUGCAUUUUUUUUUCAUCAACCUUCAGUUUGGAUCUUGGAGGAACAACUUGGAGCUUGAGUUUUGGAAGAUCAACCUAAGAAACUUGCAACUAGAAGGCGGUGACGGGCUAGACGGAGCCGGUGGGGCCCACUAGCUAACGACUUGAAUUCAUUUCCGUACUUUCUCUCGUUAUACUUGCUCUUUAGGUGAGUAAUCAGGGUUUUUCUGUGUAACUCAAUACUAAUAUGAGUUUACUAUGAAUGGGCACUUAGGCGUGGGUGUACUUUAUCGCACUCGAUCUAAACCCCAUUAGUUGCUAUUAAUACCUGUGAAAUAUGAUUUGGUGAUUUGUUAUAGAGCAUUUAUUGCUUGAAUUAGAGCAUUUAUUGCUUGAACUAGAGUAUUUAUUGCUUGCACUAGAGCAUUUAUUGCUUGAACUACAAUUUUAGAGCAUUUAUUGCUUGAACAAAAUAUUUUAGAGCAUUUAUUACUCAUGACUUGAGCUGAGGCUCAUGGUCUCUCUAUCUGGGAUCCUUUAAGAGAAGCGAGCUGUGUGGCUCAGGAUCUCAAGGGUCAACCAGUGAUCAACCUCGACAAAUGAGUUGGCUUGGGAGCCACCCGUAUCCUUACCAUGUCGUGUUACUUUUCUGCUUUUGCUUUGCUCUCACUGUGCAAAUAUUGACAUGUAAAAAUUCCAUUUUUACCCCUGGUUAGUCACUGAGCUUCUAGCUUACCCCCUUUUCUUUUGUUUUCCUUAGCAGGGCCGACACAGGAAAAUUUUGGCACCAUCACUAGUAUAGUUGGGUUUUGUUUGUAAUCACCGAAUAGUUAAAAUGUUUUCCAUAUUAUAGUGAUCCGUGUAAGGACCCUUCUUAGGGUCUACUCUUUGGUUUUGGUUAUAAUCAUCAGGAUGUAAUGAUAUGGGUAGUUACUUUUGGAGAUGUAAAUUGAACUCUUUUGCCGAUGUAUAUACUGUGAAUAGUACUCUUUUGGUACUUUUAGCUUUUAUUUGCUUUUGAUUUCGAAUCCUGGCGCGAGCUAGGCAGGCGGUCCGCCGAACCCUUUGGUUCGCCUUAGGGUGAGGUGGGGCUGUCACACUAUGAACUCCCACCUUGGUUAUAUCAGGGAUGCCAUGAUGUUCAUGUGUGUGUUAGUGUAUUUGUGAUUAGUUUUAAUGGAAGAAACUAGAAGAGGAAAAAGAAAGAGAGAAACCGUGAGGAAGAGGUGCUGUCCGAAAUUUCUAGUCAUGUUGUUCUGUUUUAGUUUCGAAAAUUUUACGCUUGAUUGACUGUGAAAUUGAUGGAUAUAUGUUGUAUAGUGUGUGUAGAAAGUGCCUACCAAAAAUCGUUUCAUUUGGUUGCGUAAAACUUGAGCUUUGGAAAGAAUCAAAUCUGGAAAAACGUAUAGCAGGGGUUCUCAGACAGUUUUGUUUUUCAAACAUAAAUUUUUGUACAAAAGUCAAAAUUGAGUGCUGUCAGUGGCAUUCAAAACUAGACAUUCAUAACUUUAUAACGGUAUAAAAAUCUCCCACUGCUUCAUUUUGAGUGAACCGCAGUGAGUCGGCAAAAUUAGCUAUUCUAUUUCGAUUGUUCAUACGAAUGAAACUAGAAGCUGCGUUUUGUGGCUUGAUUUUGUUCCACUUGUGAAAAGAUUUUCAAAUUGACGUCUUCUGAUGAAUUGUAGUAUUUGGAACCUAGUUUCGAACACCAUAAACCAAUCUCAAUUUAGAGUUGUACAGAGUGAGAUAUGGUCUGAUUUCAAAAGUGCAACAAAGCUAGAAAACCGAAAGUUUUUCCUUUCUUGCUGACCGAAUGGUCAAACUUGUUUUGGGAGGUUAUAUUUUGAAAAUUUUAGUUUCAUUUAACCAUAAAUUGUUUAUUAAAUGUUUACAGAACCUUGAUUUGAAAAAUGGAUCGAUUUGGGGCUGAUUUCAUUGUACAAAACUUUUGAAAAGAGAAAGAGAGAUAGGGUGGCAGAUUAGCUUUAGAAAUUUCACGAAUUUUGGUUGUUUCGUUAACUGCCUUCCAGUGGGUGUCGCGCCCCAUUUUUUGAUAAAUAAAUAAAUGGUUUGAAAAAAUGUAUUUGUGAUUGGAAAAUGAAUUGUGAUUUAAAAUAAAAAUGGGUCUAAAUGGGACUUUUGAAAAUGCGACGAUUUGACCCAAGAAAAAAAAGUUCAAAAAGGGUUUUUUUAUAUGAAAAAUGGAGUCGCCACUUGGUAUAGAGUUAGGGUGUACCAAGUCACCCAAAAAGUGAAUUUUUUAAGGAAAAAAGUAAGAAACCCUUUUGAACGACUCCUAGUCCACGCAAACAAAGAAAAAGAUUCGGGAGUCACAUUUGACGAAGGGGAAGGCAAGGAUAAAAAUCCAAGGCACCCCUUCGACCUAGCCAAGGCUAGUUGCGUUGAUUUAAUCAAAGAUUUUCUUGUUUUAACCAAAGAAUUUAUUACAUUUGGAUGUGCUACAUGAAUGCAAAACCCUAGACCUAGGGGUAUUGGGGGAAAUUUCUCUUCAAAGAUUGAGUGGUGCCAAUCACAUUAAUUGUGAAGCCCAAUAACGAUACUUUGAAGAAGUCACGAAUAAUGCAAGUGGGAUGCAAAUGAAGGGAAUGCAUGUAUGCAAUGUGAAGGCAUGAGUUUGAAAAAGUAAUAAAAAACAAAGAUGCCUAAGUGCAAAUGUGCACGUGAGUGGGCAAGGUAUGGUAUGUGCAAUGGUAAUAUGAAGUGCAAGUGAUGAUAAAAAGUGUUAGUGUGCAAGUGAAGGGAUAAAGAGAUGCACGUGUGCAAAUGGGAGGAGAAGUGUUCGUGUGCAAGUGAAGGGAUAAAAAAUGCAUAUGUGCAAAUGAGACAAAGUGUUCGUGUGCAAGUGAAGGGAUAAAGGUGUACGUGUGCCAAUGGGAGGAAAAAAUGAAAGUGCAAUGAUAGAGUGGAUGCAUGAACCUAGGGAAUUCAUGCAUAAUGGGUACGGGGAGACCUAAAUCGUGACUCAAUUUGCCCUUUGAUAGAGAGGAUACAAGCGUGCUAAGGCUUAGAAAAAGCCAUACUCGUCUAUAUCCCAUAUUUAAGGGGACUCUCAAGCAAAUGAACCCUAUGACUAGCAUGAAAUGCAAAAAUCCUAAAAUGGAGGGAAAAGGGGUUCGAGGUGCAUGCCAAAUGAUAAAACUAAGAAAAAUGCAUGAAAUGAAGUGAAACAUGCAAACAUGUACUAACGAGGGGAAAUCCCUAAGGGUCUAGCGUUGGACUAGCCCAUUCUAUGAAUUCCGACUAGCGUUGGACUAGUGGAAACGUACAUUCACCCAUUCCAUUCAUCUACACUAUGAAAAGCGAGUAGACAUGCGAAUCACCUAAAACACGUAGCACGUAACACUUAGCAUGCUCGACUAGAUGCAAAAUCCUAAUAAAGCAUUUAACAUAUAACACAUAGGCAUGCAACCAUUACAUUUGCUAACUAAACAAAGGGGAAAGGGAAAAUGGACCAAAUUACUUGCUACGCCCUAUCUAUUACAAGCCAAGAGGUGUACACAUACCCCAUUAAUAAAAAUAAAAAGUAAAUGAAAUAAAUGAAAGGAAAUAAGGAGAGGCUAGGAAAGCAAGUAGACAUGCAAAUUUCAAUUAGCACAUUAGUCCACAUAGGAGAGAAACAAAAGGGGUAAAAGAGAUUAUACCUCCCCCUAAUGGUAAGCAAAUGAAGGAAAAUGGCUUCAAAACAAUAAAAAUGUCACGGUACCUCAAAUAGUAAAAUAUAACAAGGUCACCAAAUCUCGCCUAAUUGCAAUUUAAAUGAUAUCAAACAAUACAUAGUUUCCAAUAAAGGGAUCCACCAAGGACCCAAAUGCAAGCAUUAAUCAACCAUUCAAAGUCAAUUGAAACAUUUUAGAAAUUUUGAAAGUCCAAGAGCAAGAAAAAGGCCAAAGCCAAUUUAUUUCAGAAAAUUUAAGAAGAUAGGUGAACACAAGCUCAUUUGGACACAAAGUUCUAAAACUCUUGCAUUAAGUAUCACUUUAGCAAAACAUGGUAACCAAUGAAGGCAAACAAGCAAUUGAAUUGAAACAUUAAUGCUACCAAAGACUCAAAUGUGAACACUAACCAAGCAUUCAAGCUUAAUCAAACACUUUUAGGAACUUCAAAGGUCCAAAGGCAAAGAAAAAAUGGAGGAAUGGUUCAAAUGCAAACAUCUUAGGACCUAAUUGCAAGAACAUGGAAUGUAAUUGGGCCAUAAUGCAUUGAUGCAAAAAUCACAGGGACCCAAUUGAGGACAUUAUUCAAUUGGUUGGGUCAUAGUGAAAUGAAGGGAGACUUGGGGGGUUAAGAGGCAAUUUCCGAAAGUUAUAUUCAUGCAGACUCAUGCAAACAACGUAGAAGCUCUUCUGCAAUUUCUGCCGCAACUCUUGCAUCUCCAAACCAGGCGUGUUUCAUACCAGAAAAAUGCACAAAAUUCAUUGUUUGCCAAACCGACUCAACUAAUGGCUUAACAAACUAAAACUUAGAUCAAAGAAGCAAGAUCAUCAAAUGUUUUUCCCAGCUUUAACCUUAAACUCCUACAUUCAGCAUAAGGUUCAGAGGGAAAAGAGUGCAGAAAUCUGGAACAUAUAAAAAUGGCUUGGCAAGUUGAAAUGUGUUUUCCAGCAAGGUUCAAACAUGAUUCAAAUGUUCAAAACCCAACAUACCGACUCAAAACCAACCAAAACACUACCCUUUUCUACACCAAAAUAUCAAACUAAGAUGGCCAACUUAGUGGAGGAGCAUGGAAACAAAAGCAACUAAACAGAUACGGCAGCAUUUUUCUGCUUCAAAAUUUUUAGCCGUGGCUGUUCAUUCACUUCAGCAUGUCAAACAGGUUUAUUCAUACCAAAAUUCUACCUAUCCAUCAUCCACUAAACAUACAACUUCAUUGCAUGAUUGAAUCAAAAAGAUGGAGCUGAUCAUCAAGAGUAGAAGGAAAGCCAAACAGCAACAGAAUGAAGAAGAAGGAAAAAAAAUGCAGCGAUGAUUUCCAUAACAACAAACAAAAGUGCGGCCAAACAUUUAAUCCCUUGCAAAAGCUCAUUUCAAAGCUUACCCAUUACUCCCAACACCGAACCUAAUGCAAAAGAAAAAAGAAAUGCAACCUUGAAAUAGCAAACAAACCCAGAAACUUAAGCAAAUCCAGAUUUUUAUGCAAACAGACAAUGCAUCUGUUAACAUUGCUGCAAUAAGUUCGGAAGCUUCCUCCCACUUCUGACCAAGUUUGAAUUUAUGAUGGUAAAGUUGUGGAUGAUCUUACUUUACAAACUUAAGGUGGUUUGCUCACAGCAAGAGGAACAUGAGAAAUAGGAACGGCACUAAGCAUAAAACAGCAAAUUAUCAAACGAAAUUCCUAUAUGAAUGGCAGUCAUAUCAUGAAACCGAAAGGAACCAAAGCUUCACUCGAAACACAAACCCAUGCAAACAUUCAUUUUCAUUCUCACAAACAUCUAACCUCAGACAAAUAUUCCAUUCUUAAAACCAAAACUAGCAAACAUGUCAAUCAAAUGCAAACAGGCCCAAAUAUUUAUCAAGAUUCCAAAGGCUACCACCAAAAUGGUAACACGGAGCGCAUGUCAAAUAGACAAUAUGAGCCCAAGAGAAUUUCAUCGAGCCUCAGAUUCAUUCGUUAGUUCCAAAGCUCAAAGCUAAAGACUUUUCAAACACAUUUCUAACACCAGAUGUUGUUCAUGGUAUUUCAUUCAAACAUAGACAACAAAACAAGCAGGGUCAAUCGAGUCUAAACCUCAGCAAACAAAGAAAAAGCAACCGACAUGCCUGAGUUGUUGCAACAAGCCGAAAAAUCCAAUCUUGUUGCAGCAAGCUCUUAAGCUAAGAAUCCAAGAACAGAGGGCCACACUCACAAAAGAAAUCCAUCAAGAACACCAAAUACUUCUGCUUUUCAUAGUCCCGUUACUUAAUAACAAACAAUAUCUAUAAACAGAAGAAAAAGAAAACCUUACAGUCACGUUCUUGGUGAAGCUCUCGGCAACAAUGGUGGCGGCGAGUUCCUCUUCUGCGGUCGCCACCAGUUCCAACCCUUUUAGCUCUCAACCUUUUCCUUUUUGCAGUCUAGCCUACCCACAGCCCCAGCUCUCUUUACUCCAGCCGUCCUUUUCCUCCUCAGCCGCAAGUCUCCCUCACUCUUUCUAUCACUCUCUCUCUCAGUCGCUGUUUUUUCCUGUUUUCCCUCACCUCCAGCCGUCAACUUCAAUCCUUCUUCCCUUUCUUUGCUGGUUCACCUUUCUGCCGUCACUUUUCUGUUUCCUGCCUUCUCGCGGUUUCCACUCUCUCAAACCAGCCGUUGUUACCUAAUCUCUCUUGGCUUCCUCCCCUUUUCCUUUUGCUGUUGUCGACCUCUUUUCCUCCCUUGGCGGCUGCCAUUCUCUUGGCUUUUAUAUGGAAGUCCCCCCAACCCUAAACACCCAAACAUCUCUGCUAUAAUUGCAGCUAAGGGCUGCCGAGCCCUUCUUGCAAAGCUGCGACAAAACGCAGCUUUCUGCAUUUGUCUUUUUUUUUUUUCCAAAAGAUAUUUAACAAAACCAAAAUGAUAAUAAUAAUAACAAUAAUAAUAACAAAACCCACUUAAUUAACAUUGGAUAAAAUAAACAAACUAGAAACAACAAAAAUGCAAUUUUUCAUUUUCCAUUUUCAUCAUUUUUCCUUUUUCCUUUUUUAAAUAAUUUACCAAAAAUGAUAAUAAAAUUAAGUAAAAACCAACAAUUUGAUUAACAUCAGAUAAAAAUAAAUAAAUAAACUAGAAAUAAUAAACAGCAAAGUUGCAAUUUUUAUCAUUUUUUCUCUUUUUUUCCUUUUUUUUUCAUUUUCAAUUUUCAUUUUUUUCAUUUUUUCCAAGAAAACAUUGAAUUUAAAUCAAAACAAUUAAAACAUAUAUUUUUUUUUGAAUGCUUUUUCCCUUUUCUUUUCGAGAAAUUCUAUGCUAAAAACUUAAAAAUAAUAAUAAUAACACGAAAAACUAAAAAACUAAAAACUAAAAAGGUGAAUAAAACUAAUAAACUGAAAACACUAAAAUUUUGGUGUCUACAGUUUGCCCCUCUUUGUCUGAGUUUUGAAAAAACUUGAGACAAAGAAGUAGACACCAAAUACUUACCUGCGUUAUUUGGUUGCGAAUGUCUGGAACGACUGAGGAUUGACCCCGACAAGAAACUUAAAACGGGACUGACCCGAACAAGAAAUUUUUGCUAUCGGGACUGACCCGAACAGGAACUUUGAAAUCGGGACCGACCCGAACAGAAAUUUAAACGGGACUGACCCGAACAGAAUUUAAACGGGACUGACCCGAACAGGAAUUUAAACGGGACUGACCCGAACAGAAUUUAAACGGGACUGACCCGAACAGAAAUUAAACGGGAUAGACCCAGACAAAAAUUUUAAAUGGGAUAGACCCAGACAAAAAAAUGUAAAUGGGACAGACCCAAACAGAAAUUUAAAUGGGAUGAAUUGAAGUGAGAUGGAGUAUUGGUGGGGUUGACCCAUGUUUAUUGGUGAUGCAAAUGAAAGAAGUGAAAUGAAGUGUUAAUGGGACUGAUCCACGAUCCAGUGACUGUGAAAAUGAAAUGUUCAUUGGCGGUACUGACCCACGUUCCAGUGGCUAUGAAAAUGAAAAGCUCACUGGCGGGACAAACCUCAGCUCCAGUGGCUAUGAAAAUGAAAUGUUGGUAUGUUUGAAAAGGCUGUAUAAAACUUGCUUGGAAAAUUAUCCAAGAUUUGUCCCAGUGUAAUGAAUUGAUCAGCGGGAUAGAACCCAGUUCUGCCGAGGUUGGCGGGAUAAAACCCAGUUCCAACGUGAUAAGCGGCCAGCGGGAUAGAACCCAGUUCUGUCGAGGUUGGCGGGAUAAAACCCAGUUCCAACGUGAUAAACGGUCAGCGGGAUAGAACCCAGUUCUGCCGAGGUUGGCGGGAUAAAACCCAGUUCCAACGUGAUGCAAGCGGUCAGCGGGAUAGAACCCAGUUCUGCCGAGGUUGGCGGGAUAAAACCCAGUUCCAACGUGAUGCAAGCGGUCAGCGGGAUAGAACCCAGUUCUGCCGAGGUUGGCGGGAUAAAACCCAGUUCCAACGAAAGUAAAAGCGGUCAGCGGGAUAGAACCCAGUUCUGCCGAGGUUGGCGGGAUAAAACCCAGUUCCAACGAAAGUAAAAGCGGUCAGUGGGAUAAAAACCCGUGCCUGCCGAGGUCGGAGGGAUAAAACCCAUGCCCAACGAAAAUAAAAGCGGUCAGUGGGAUAAAACCCGAGCCUGCCGAUGUCGGAGGGAUAAAACCCAUGCCCAACGAAAAUAAAAGCGGACAGUGGGAUAAAACCCGAGCCUGCCGAUGUGAACUUGAUUUGAUUUUUGACUUUUGUGAUGAUGAUUUUUUAUGUUUGAUUUGAUUUGAUUUGAUUUAUUUAUUUUUUUGAAUUUUUUGAAUUUUUCUGACUUUUGAGAAACUUUUCAAAAAAUUAAUUUGCCCCAGUUGGAUGAAUUUUUGCAAUUUGAGUCCAUAGUUGAUUCGGUAUCGCCAUGUUGCUGCACCUUUUGAUCAAAUUUGCUUGUGACAUUUUCGAUCUGCCCUUUGUCCCCCGGAGGACUCUUCCCGACACCAAUUCGAGUGCGAGGUGUGAUUACCUUCAUCUGUGCAUACAAUUUUUCCUGUGAAAGAGAAAAAACAAAGAAAUUGCCACCACCAUUUGAUCCGUUUUCCUUCGAGAAUCGUGUAAACAUGAGUCUUUCAACGCCUUUAUCAACUUUUGCUGCGGCAGCCGAUUGAGUUGGAUUUCUUACCCUGAAGCUUUUUCAAUUUUCAAACUGACCAGGUAUGUGCUUUGCUAUAUUGUGAAAUCUGUGUAGCUGGCUUGGCUGAAUUUCAACUGUUCCCAAAAGAUGACUGAAUCCAAGCAUACUUUUUGCAAUAAACCACAGGGAUUGUCAUUCACCACAAUUCAAUGAUAAAAAAUGAGGCAUGCAAGAAAAUUCACAUGUCAUGUAAAAAUGAAUAUGCACAAGAAUGCACACCUAACAGUUGUGCUUAAAUUCUACAAAAAUGCCAUGAAUGCAAAUAAUUUGGAAGAAAUGAGUUUCCUAAGAAUAUAUUUGCAAAAGAAUGUUUUACAAAAAUGACUCAGCUUUUGGCCAACAGAUGUCAUAUUCUAAUCUCUGGACAUCUUAGCUCCGGAAUUCAAUGUUGUCAGAGGUAUGACAAAAAUGAGAAGACAUCUAAAUGGACCGAACCACCAGUUGUUCCUCUUUGUGCUUGCUCAUUGCAGAAACCUACCUUGGCGUCCAUUCGGGUUUUCACCAAGGUUGCCCCCACUCCUUUUCUUUUGUUUUCCUUUUCUCUUUUUUUCUUUUCGUUCUUGAGGUGCCCUUGUGGGUUUUUCACCUAAUGAAACAAUGGAAGAACUCAAACAUAGUCGACUCAGGAAUGUAAGUCGAAGAUUGCUGGCAUCAGUAAAAAUACGCUUCCCUCGUAAGAUUAGGCGAAGGCAUUAUGGACAUCACCUGCCAGUUGAUUAACAAACUUUUUUAAUAGAAAUGCAGCAAGUGACGAAAGCCAGGACUUUGGGCUUUUGUAAUGAGGUUAGGUGGGGUGUUUUUCAAGAAAAGUUGAGGCUUGAAAGCAGGUCUGAUGAAAUGUGUGAAAUAACCUGAAAUUGCAUCAUUUUGAAAUCAUCUCCAAUUUUUGAACGAAACCGAGGAAAAUUUGCCCCAGUUUGAUUGGAUUUUUCUUUCUUUGUAUUUUUCAUUGCAUUUUCUUCUCUUUUGCAUUUUUCUUUGAAAACUAAAUUUGCCCCAGUGUGGGGUUCUUUCUUCCUUUUCAUCUCUCUUUCAAAACAAAUUUGCCCCAGUAUGGGGUUCUUUCUUUUCCUCAGAUCUUUUUCAAAGAUAAAUUUGCCCCAGUAUGGGGUUUUUCUUUUCUUUCUGAUCAUUUUUCAAAAUGAAUUUGCCCCAAUGUGGGGUUUGCAAUUCUCAGGGGUUGCCAAACGAAAAUUAUUGUUCUGAUAGCUCAAAAGGGACGACUAGGGAUGAAAUGUUUUGAUUGGAAAGGAAGAUAGCCUGACUUUUGCCUCGUCUCUUGCAUGAUUUCCUAAAAGAAACUUUGCAUAAUCAAAUAAAGAACAUCUUACACAUGUUCGAGUUGAUAGGUUGAGAGAAUGUCUGUCCUUCCAUCUCUCAUUUGAACACCCAAUAAGCUUUGUCAAUUUGAAGCAAAUUUGCCUUCGACUUCGUCUUUCAUCACUUUGGCACUUUGUUUCCUUCUUCAGAAGAUCGGUGGCGGAUCCUUUUGUUAUGAAUAUAGGCCAUGCGUUUUGACAACGUUGGUCAUGGCACAUAGCAUUCAACUGCUUUUCAUUAAUCAGAAUCAAUCGUUAAUGGCACUGCUUUAACCAAUCAGCUUACAACCUGGCAGGAAAGGGAUUUUCUCAAUGAAGGAAUUUCUCAAUGAAGGCUUUUUUCUUUUUAUGAAGGCUUUCUCCAUGAAGGGGUCUCUCAAAGAAGAGAUUUCUCAAUGAAUGGAUUUUUAAUGGAGGGGUUUUCAAUGGUUUUCUCAAUGAAGGCUUUCCCCAGGAAGGGAUUUUCAACGAAAGGAUUUUUAAUGAAGGGAUUUUCAAUGAAGGGCUACAUCAGAUUCCAGAACAGUGAUAUUCAAAGGAUCAAAUAAUUUCAUCUUUGGCCAUCUCAAAGAAUUAACAAAAAUUCAGGAAAAUAACCAAAUAAACAAAUAAAACAAAUUGUGCAUUUCAUGAAACUCCAAAUCAAAGCAGAAACAAGACAAAACUCAAUUGCAAAAAAUGCUUUCGUUAAGCUAUUUACAUAAGCAAGAAAAAGUUUUCGUGAAUUUUAGUAAAUGACAAACCCCUAGAUUUAUCGAAAUUCCCUUUGAGAGGGAGGAUAAUCAGCCAUCCAAAUUGUGCAGAGCUCCUUCAGGAUUUUCAAAUUUCGUCAUUGGAGGUGGAUGCUUCAAAGGUGUCACUGUGUUUGGGAAAGGGGUUUGUACUUAUGUUCGGUCCUUGUUCUGCACUUCUUCUAAUCAAUAUUUCCCCGGCCUCAAUCAUUUCUUGGACUUUCUGUUUAAGUGCUCUACAAUCAGUAGUUGGGUGGCCAGGUGCUCCCGAAUGAUAGGCACAAGUGUAUUGUGGGUUAUAUCCGCCGGAGAUACCAUGGUAGGCUGGAGGGGGAAUUUCGCCGAUUUUACCGGCGGCUUUUAAUUGUUCAUAUAAUUGGUCCAAAGGCCUGCCAAGAUUGGUGAAUGUUUGAGAACGAUUUUGAACGUGGGUUUCAGUAUGUUGGGGGUAGUUGUAGGUGGGUCUGUUUGGUCGGGGAAAUUGUUGAUUGUAAGGAGGUCGGGGUCGAACUUGUUGGAAGUGAGGUUGAGAUAUUUGAAAAGGGGCCAUAGGCGAGUUGUUAUAGUUAGGCCGAGGUCGAGGAUGAAUGGUAUUGGUGUGGUAAACAGGAUGAGGGCUUGAAUAGUAAGGGUUUGAGUAGGUAGGGUAUAGUCGAGGUCUGGGUCUUGGAAUAGGGAUUCGAUUCCAGACAAAAGCAGUUUCCCCCUCUUGCCUUUUGGAUUGUUGCUUCUUCCCAUUACUACCUUGGCUUUGCAAAGCAUCCAACUGCGAUUUGAGGGCAGACACAUUAACAAUCUUUCCAGCCUUCACGAAAUCAUCAAAUUCCUCAAGUUUAUUAACAAUUGCGGCAAAUGAGCAUCCAGUCAUGCGGAAAAUUUCUUCAAAGUACGGCGGAUCAUGUGCCUUAAUGAAAGUUCGUAUGAUUUCGUCCUCCGUCAUUGGUGGCUCGACUUUUGCAGCUACUUUCCUCCACCUCUUAGCAUAAGUCUUGUGAUCCUCGGAGGGUUUCCUCUUUGUCCCUUCCAACGUAGUUCGUGUUGGAGCCAGCUCGCAAUUAUACUCGUACUGUUUUACAAAAGCGUUGGACAAGUCAAGCCAGGUCUUCGUUUCUUCGGAUUUCAGCUUGGAAUACCAAUCGAGUGCAUCCCCCUCCAGACUUUCUGGGAAUAGCCUCAAAGGCAGAUUUUCAUCAUCUGUUGGCCUACCCAACUUGUUGGCGAACAAUCGGAGGUGCGUCUUGGGAUUGCCCGUCCCAUCAUACUUGUUAAACUUCGGAAUUUUGAAUCCUUCAGGCAAUUGUACAUUUGGAAAGAGACAAAGCUCGUCAUAGUCCAGCACUCCUUGCUUGUUUAAACCCUGACUUUUCCUUAUAAAUUCAUCAAAACGGUCAAGGCGUUUGAGCAGCUUUAUAUCAACGGGAGCGGAAGAUUCCCCCAUUUCUGGCUUGGUUUGAGCAGUAUGGUCUGGUAGGAAUGGCUCAGCAGCAGUGUGAUAAAAAGUAUGUGGCUCUGGUGGUAUGUUUGAAGUGAUUUGGGGUUGUGGGCCUUGCAUGCAAGUAGGGAAAAAUGAAGGAUGAGGAGGGUAAGUGUAUGGCAAAUGUAUAGUGGGGUAUGUGAAAGCCCCUUCGGUUGGAAUAGGGAAAAAUGGAGCAACAGUGGCUUGAAUUGAAGGUAUGACAAAUGGCUCUGGCCCAGGCUGCCUGCCGGGCACGGGCUCGGGUUGAACUCCACUGCUGAUAAUCUCAUCGAUUAAUUUCCUCUGGGCCGCCAUCUCAGUGGUCAUCUCACCGAACUUAGUGAGCAUCUCAGUCAACUGAACCCCCAAACUUGUGGUCUCAGGCUGGGCGGUAGUAACAAACCUGUCUGAUGGUUCCGGUUGCGGACUCAUGUUUACACGACUCCUCUGAACUUGACUACGGGAUCGUGUUAUGAUGGGGCUUCGACGAGAAGCUAUGUUUAAAUAUUACCUGAGAAUUUUGAAAGGAAUUGCCUUUAGAUUCAACCCUUGAUUAGUUAUUACAAUAAAAAUAAAGAAAAGAAAAAGAAAAAAAGCAAGAGUUAGUAGAUAUCCAGGAAAUUCGGAUGCAUGUCCUAUGGGGGAACCCUUUUUGUGCCAAGGGUAGGCCUAGCAUGAAAAUGCACUCCUCUGAGGUAGGCACUAUACCAUACCUGAUGGAUCUGAUCAAAAAAUAAUUUUGAAAAAUUGGGUCAAUUGGAGUGACGAGAGAUAUUUUGUCAAAAUGAGAUCAACGUCCGAAUGGAUUGAUCACUUUUGAUCGAUACGAGAGUUUGCAAAAACGCACGGGUUUGACUUUGACGAACUUCCUAUCGAAGAGAUUGGAAUUCAUUGACCAAAUCGUUUCAGUGAAAAACCCCAACUGAUCAAAUGGCUGGAUGCAAUGGAUGAUUUUCUCAAAAUCGACUAGGUUUUCCAUUUUGAAAUUCGUCAUUGAAACCCUACUCGGUCAAAUGGGUUGAACGAAAUUGACAAUUUUAUUUAAAAUCGACCGCAUUACCCUAAAAAAGGGAAUCGGGUCAAAUGAAUUGAGUGAAAUUUAAAAACUUACUCAAAAUUGACCGAAUCAUUCUAAAAAAGGGAUUUGGUCAAAUGAAAUCGAGAAUUUAUUCAAAAUUGACCGGAUCGCCCUAAAAGAGUAAACUGGUCAAAUGAAUCGGACGAAAUUAAUGAUUUACUCGAAAUCGAUAAGAUCGCCCUAAGAAUGGAAAAAUUGGUGAUUUAUUCAGAAAAUCGAUUAGAUUGCCCUAAAAAUGGGUGAAUUGGCCAAAUGAAACGAAAUGAAGAUUUAUUCAAAAAUCGACCAGAUGACCCUAAAAAGGGUAAAUUGGUCAAAUGAAUUGACGAUUUAUUCAAAAUCGACCAGGUGACCCUAAAAAGGGUAAAUUGGUCAAAUAAAUGGUUUAUUCAAUUCAAAAUCGACCUGAUAAAAAGGGUAAAUUGGUCCCUAAAAAGGGUAAAUUGGUCAAAUGAAUUGAUUUAUUCAAAAUUGAUUAGGAAUUGACAAAAUGGAUCGAUUGAAUCGGCCGGGCAUUGGUGGUUUCAGAAAAUUAGUCUAUGAGCCUUCUAAAAUCACUAUUUGGCCUCAAUUUAUUUAUCGUCUCAAUGAUAAGGAAUUAUUUGUGAAUUUCUUCAAAUUAAUGUCCUUUACGCAAGGGAUUUUUACCAAUUUUGAUAAAAUGGCCAAAAAGUGAUUAUUAGAUGCUCAUAUUCCAAAGAUCACUCUACGAAAAUGAUUGGAUCCUACCUUACCUUGUGCACUACCCCUUUGGAUGGUACAAAAUGUAAACGUGCAAGUCUCGUUGGAUUAAGUAUCCGAGACACAAGGCGGCUUAUUCCUAACACGGGAUCCCCUAAAUGGCAUUCCCUUUCUAGGGUUGUGCAUGAUGCCAUUUAUUAAAGCGAUGUAAAUAUGCAAUCCGAAAUGAAACGUGACCUAAGGAACCCUUUAUUUGCCAGAGUAGGCCUAAAAUGGUAUGGCAUUAUUAAUUUAUGAACAAAAUGUACCACAAUUUUCAAACGUGCAAUAGCCUAUCUACAAGGGUAGGUCCUAAAAGGAGGUCAUGCCAGACCUCUUAUUUCCUAACGUUUGUGAAUGCAAAAGAUAAGAAACAAGGAAACGUUAGUUCAACACAUAAUCACAUAACACAUUGGAUAAUUAGAUGAUACAAAAGCAACAAAGAAAUAAGGAAAGAGGGUGGGAUCCCUCCCCUCGUGCAUGGUGUCCCUAAUAGAGUAAGGUCGACUCUACCUUAGGCAAUUCUAAAAUGGAUGCAUGAGGUUGGGGUUCACUAAUGCAUCUAGACUCGAUAAGUCAUAGGUCCCCAAGCCUUCAGACUCGUGACCAAGGGUCAUCACUCCCAAGGCCCUUUGUCGGUGGCUCGAGCGAUUCCCCAAACACCGCUACGCACACGUCGUGUUACGGCCGCAUGUUUGAGUGAAUCUAUAAAAAACCUCAACCUUCGACUAAAAACUAAGGAUAUUAACCCAAAGUUUAAAGCGGAAGAGUGAGUGACCCAUUGGAUCGUGCUACGCACACGUCGUGUUACGAUCACACGUCCAAGUGGGUCUCCUAAUCCUAACAGGGUGGAGUGGCGUGACAAGCCACUAAAAAGAAAAUAAAGAGGGAUGAAUAAUAAAGCGUAUGCGCGUAUGAUAGUGCACGUUUUGGAGGGGAGGGAUCGAGAACCCACGCAAGGCUCUAAGGUAGAAUCCCCUCCCAAAUGCAAUGCAAAGCGCGGAAUCACAUACAAACAUCCAUUCAUCAAAACAAUCGUAGGCGAACGUGUGAGGAAGUGAGUUGAUACGCGAAAUGCAAAAAUCCUAGAAAAGGGAAAAAUGCAACCCUAAACAUCCAAUGUGAUAAAUAAAAAGGUUUAAGAGAAGAAAAAGAUUGAUUAAAUCAAAUUUGCUCGGACUCUCGAAUGUCCCCAGUGGAGUCGCCAACUGUCGCGCCCCAUUUUUGAUAAGAAAAAUAAAUGGUUUGAAAAAUGGAUUUUGUGAUGAUUGGAAGAUGAAUCGUGAUUUAAAAGAAAAAUGAAUGGGUCUAAAUGGGGGUUUGAAAAUGCGACGAUUUGACCCAAGAAAAAUAGUUCAAAAAGGGUUUUUUAUAUGAAAAAUGGAGUCGCCACUUGGUAUAGAGUUAGGGUGUACCAAGUCACCCAAAAAGUGAAUUUUUAAGGAAAAAAGUAAGAAACCCUUUUGAACGACUCCUAGUCCACGCAAACAAAGAAAAAGAUUCGGGAGUCACAUUUGACGAAGGGGAAGGCAAGGAUAAAAAUCCAAGGCACCCCUUCGACCUAGCCAAGGCUAGUUGCGUUGAUUUAAUCAAAGAUUUUCUUGUUUUAACCAAAGAAUUUAUUACAUUUGGAUGUGCUACAUGAAUGCAAAACCCUAGACCUAGGGGUAUUGGGGGAAAUUUCUCUUCAAAGAUUGAGUGGUGCCAAUCACAUUAAUUGUGAAGCCCAAUAACGAUACUUUGAAGAAGUCACGAAUAAUGCAAGUGGGAUGCAAAUGAAGGGAAUGCAUGUAUGCAAUGUGAAGGCAUGAGUUUGAAAAAGUAAUAAAAAACAAAGAUGCCUAAGUGCAAAUGUGCACGUGAGUGGGCAAGGUAUGGUAUGUGCAAUGGUAAUAUGAAGUGCAAGUGAUGAUAAAAAGUGUUAGUGUGCAAGUGAAGGGAUAAAGAGAUGCACGUGUGCAAAUGGGAGGAGAAGUGUUCGUGUGCAAGUGAAGGGAUAAAAAAUGCAUAUGUGCAAAUGAGACAAAGUGUUCGUGUGCAAGUGAAGGGAUAAAGGUGUACGUGUGCCAAUGGGAGGAAAAAAUGAAAGUGCAAUGAUAGAGUGGAUGCAUGAACCUAGGGAAUUCAUGCAUAAUGGGUACGGGGAGACCUAAAUCGUGACUCAAUUUGCCCUUUGAUAGAGAGGAUACAAGCGUGCUAAGGCUUAGAAAAAGUCAUACUCGUCUAUAUCCCAUAUUUAAGGGGACUCUCAAGCAAAUGAACCCUAUGACUAGCAUGAAAUGCAAAAAUCCUAAAAUGGAGGGAAAAGGGGUUCGAGGUGCAUGCCAAAUGAUAAAACUAAGAAAAAUGCAUGAAAUGAAGUGAAACAUGCAAACAUGUACUAACGAGGGGAAAUCCCUAAGGGUCUAGCGUUGGACUAGCCCAUUCUAUGAAUUCCGACUAGCGUUGGACUAGUGGAAACGUACAUUCACCCAUUCCAUUCAUCUACACUAUGAAAAGCGAGUAGACAUGCGAAUCACCUAAAACACGUAGCACGUAACACUUAGCAUGCUCGACUAGAUGCAAAAUCCUAAUAAAGCAUUUAACAUAUAACACAUAGGCAUGCAACCAUUACAUUUGCUAACUAAACAAAGGGGAAAGGGAAAAUGGACCAAAUUACUUGCUACGCCCUAUCUAUUACAAGCCAAGAGGUGUACACAUACCCCAUUAAUAAAAAUAAAAAGUAAAUGAAAUAAAUGAAAGGAAAUAAGGAGAGGCUAGGAAAGCAAGUAGACAUGCAAAUUUCAAUUAGCACAUUAGUCCACAUAGGAGAGAAACAAAAGGGGUAAAAGAGAUUAUACCUCCCCCUAAUGGUAAGCAAAUGAAGGAAAAUGGCUUCAAAACAAUAAAAAUGUCACGGUACCUCAAAUAGUAAAAUAUAACAAGGUCACCAAAUCUCGCCUAAUUGCAAUUUAAAUGAUAUCAAACAAUACAUAGUUUCCAAUAAAGGGAUCCACCAAGGACCCAAAUGCAAGCAUUAAUCAACCAUUCAAAGUCAAUUGAAACAUUUUAGAAAUUUUGAAAGUCCAAGAGCAAGAAAAAGGCCAAAGCCAAUUUAUUUCAGAAAAUUUAAGAAGAUAGGUGAACACAAGCUCAUUUGGACACAAAGUUCUAAAACUCUUGCAUUAAGUAUCACUUUAGCAAAACAUGGUAACCAAUGAAGGCAAACAAGCAAUUGAAUUGAAACAUUAAUGCUACCAAAGACUCAACUGUGAACACUAGCCAAGCAUUCAAGCUUAAUCAAACACUUUUAGGAACUUCAAAGGUCCAAAGGCAAAGAAAAAAUGGAGGAAUGGUUCAAAUGCAAACAUCUUAGGACCUAAUUGCAAGAACAUGGAAUGUAAUUGGGCCAUAAUGCAUUGAUGCAAAAAUCACAGGGACCCAAUUGAGGACAUUAUUCAAUUGGUUGGGUCAUAGUGAAAUGAAGGGAGACUUGGGGGGUUAAGAGGCAAUUUCCGAAAGUUAUAUUCAUGCAGACUCAUGCAAACAACGUAGAAGCUCUUCUGCAAUUUCUGCCGCAACUCUUGCAUCUCCAAACCAGGCGUGUUUCAUACCAGAAAAAUGCACAAAAUUCAUUGUUUGCCAAACCGACUCAACUAAUGGCUUAACAAACUAAAACUUAGAUCAAAGAAGCAAGAUCAUCAAAUGUUUUUCCCAGCUUUAACCUUAAACUCCUACAUUCAGCAUAAGGUUCAGAGGGAAAAGAGUGCAGAAAUCUGGAACAUAUAAAAAUGGCUUGGCAAGUUGAAAUGUGUUUUCCAGCAAGGUUCAAACAUGAUUCAAAUGUUCAAAACCCAACAUACCGACUCAAAACCAACCAAAACACUACCCUUUUCUACACCAAAAUAUCAAACUAAGAUGGCCAACUUAGUGGAGGAGCAUGGAAACAAAAGCAACUAAACAGAUACGGCAGCAUUUUUCUGCUUCAAAAUUUUUAGCCGUGGCUGUUCAUUCACUUCAGCAUGUCAAACAGGUUUAUUCAUACCAAAAUUCUACCUAUCCAUCAUCCACUAAACAUACAACUUCAUUGCAUGAUUGAAUCAAAAAGAUGGAGCUGAUCAUCAAGAGUAGAAGGAAAGCCAAACAGCAACAGAAUGAAGAAGAAGGAAAAAAAAUGCAGCGAUGAUUUCCAUAACAACAAACAAAAGUGCGGCCAAACAUUUAAUCCCUUGCAAAAGCUCAUUUCAAAGCUUACCCAUUACUCCCAACACCGAACCUAAUGCAAAAGAAAAAAGAAAUGCAACCUUGAAAUAGCAAACAAACCCAGAAACUUAAGCAAAUCCAGAUUUUUAUGCAAACAGACAAUGCAUCUGUUAACAUUGCUGCAAUAAGUUCGGAAGCUUCCUCCCACUUCUGACCAAGUUUGAAUUUAUGAUGGUAAAGUUGUGGAUGAUCUUACUUUACAAACUUAAGGUGGUUUGCUCACAGCAAGAGGAACAUGAGAAAUAGGAACGGCACUAAGCAUAAAACAGCAAAUUAUCAAACGAAAUUCCUAUAUGAAUGGCAGUCAUAUCAUGAAACCGAAAGGAACCAAAGCUUCACUCGAAACACAAACCCAUGCAAACAUUCAUUUUCAUUCUCACAAACAUCUAACCUCAGACAAAUAUUCCAUUCUUAAAACCAAAACUAGCAAACAUGUCAAUCAAAUGCAAACAGGCCCAAAUAUUUAUCAAGAUUCCAAAGGCUACCACCAAAAUGGUAACACGGAGCGCAUGUCAAAUAGACAAUAUGAGCCCAAGAGAAUUUCAUCGAGCCUCAGAUUCAUUCGUUAGUUCCAAAGCUCAAAGCUAAAGACUUUUCAAACACAUUUCUAACACCAGAUGUUGUUCAUGGUAUUUCAUUCAAACAUAGACAACAAAACAAGCAGGGUCAAUCGAGUCUAAACCUCAGCAAACAAAGAAAAAGCAACCGACAUGCCUGAGUUGUUGCAACAAGCCGAAAAAUCCAAUCUUGUUGCAGCAAGCUCUUAAGCUAAGAAUCCAAGAACAGAGGGCCACACUCACAAAAGAAAUCCAUCAAGAACACCAAAUACUUCUGCUUUUCAUAGUCCCGUUACUUAAUAACAAACAAUAUCUAUAAACAGAAGAAAAAGAAAACCUUACAGUCACGUUCUUGGUGAAGCUCUCGGCAACAAUGGUGGCGGCGAGUUCCUCUUCUGCGGUCGCCACCAGUUCCAACCCUUUUAGCUCUCAACCUUUUCCUUUUUGCAGUCUAGCCUACCCACAGCCCCAGCUCUCUUUACUCCAGCCGUCCUUUUCCUCCUCAGCCGCAAGUCUCCCUCACUCUUUCUAUCACUCUCUCUCAGUCGCUGUUUUUUCCUGUUUUCCCUCACCUCCAGCCGUCAACUUCAAUCCUUCUUCCCUUUCUUUGCUGGUUCACCUUUCUGCCGUCACUUUUCUGUUUCCUGCCUUCUCGCGGUUUCCACUCUCUCAAACCAGCCGUUGUUACCUAAUCUCUCUUGGCUUCCUCCCCUUUUCCUUUUGCUGUUGUCGACCUCUUUUCCUCCCUUGGCGGCUGCCAUUCUCUUGGCUUUUAUAUGGAAGUCCCCCCAACCCUAAACACCCAAACAUCUCUGCUAUAAUUGCAGCUAAGGGCUGCCGAGCCCUUCUUGCAAAGCUGCGACAAAACGCAGCUUUCUGCAUUUGUCUUUUUUUUUUUUCCAAAAGAUAUUUAACAAAACCAAAAUGAUAAUAAUAAUAACAAUAAUAAUAACAAAACCCACUUAAUUAACAUUGGAUAAAAUAAACAAACUAGAAACAACAAAAAUGCAAUUUUUCAUUUUCCAUUUUCAUCAUUUUUCCUUUUUCCUUUUUUAAAUAAUUUACCAAAAAUGAUAAUAAAAUUAAGUAAAAACCAACAAUUUGAUUAACAUCAGAUAAAAAUAAAUAAAUAAACUAGAAAUAAUAAACAGCAAAGUUGCAAUUUUUAUCAUUUUUUCUCUUUUUUUCCUUUUUUUUUCAUUUUCAAUUUUCAUUUUUUUCAUUUUUUCCAAGAAAACAUUGAAUUUAAAUCAAAACAAUUAAAACAUAUAUUUUUUUUUGAAUGCUUUUUCCCUUUUCUUUUCGAGAAAUUCUAUGCUAAAAACUUAAAAAUAAUAAUAAUAACACAAAAAACUAAAAAACUAAAAACUAAAAAGGUGAAUAAAACUAACAAACUGAAAACACUAAAAUUUUGGUGUCUACAGUGGGAUUUUUUGUAUAAAAUUUGAUAGAGAAGUUCAUAUAUGGAAGUUUAAGAGUACUAGAUUUGGUGCGAUUUCAAUGCCAUUUCGAUACUCAAAUAAUGCCCCAAAUAUUCCUCUUCAAAUCUGAAAAUUCACUGAACAGGGUACAAAAACCAACCACAUUCCAACUGUUGUAUCUUGUUGCUCGAAACUCCAAAUUUGGUUUCGCUUCUGGUUUUUGAAACUUUGUAUGGGACUCUUAUUGUGUUACGAAUUUCAAAGGUUAGUUCACUUUCUGUGAAUUUUACCGAAUUUCCAAAGAUUACAAGAAAACCAAGACUGGUUCAAACCUGUCUUCUUGGAACUGGAACUUUGAGCUGAAAAAUGAAUGCUUUCUGUUUGGAACCUUGAAAAAAGUGUGUUCUAGAAACUUUUAGUACUAUGGAUCUAGUUUCCAACGGUAUAAAGUUUUCCAUUUUUAGACGUACCGAACUCAAGAUCAGAUUUUACCAAGUUUGUCGCGCAAAGUUGAAAAUUCUUGAUUUCUUAGGAAAUGAGUUUUUAAGAACUUUUCAUUUCCUUUGUUAUUGAUAGGUCGUUUUGAAUCCGGUUUCAUGGAGGAUACGAGUUAUCCCUUGUGACUUUGAACUCUCACUUUUGAAUCUUGAAUUUCACUAGCAUGAAGCUCUUUUAAGACAUUGUCUUAGUAUUACGCAAGUGUACAUUCUUCCUUGUUUGGCAAGGGGUUUGUAAGUAUUGGUAAGUGAUAGAUAAUUGUUAUUUCUUCAGGCACUCAACAGGAUCUUGAAGAGAAUCUCAGAGCCGACUACUAAAGAUCUUAUUUGUAUUUACUCACUUAUUUUGAAUUGGUGAGUGUUCCUUGUAGGUGUUUGUGACUUGAAUAGUUUUGCUACAUGUUUACCGCAUAUUUCUUGUGUGUUUGAGUGUUAAGUGUUAUCUAUAAUUGCUCCUAUGUAAUUUUCCACCGUUUUAAGGUGAGUGCGUACUUUAUCACACUCGACCUAUGAAAAUAAUAAAUUUCUACCGCUUACCGGUUUACUUAAUUAUUUGCGCAUGUUGUAAGCUCUUAGUUGAACUUGACCCUGCCCGUGGUUGCUAACCUGCUUGAGCCAAGACUGGGUUCGGUCAGGUAGGUUGGAAUCUUGGGCCACCGUAUCGGUAUACUCGAGUAUUACCAUUGGAGGAAUAAGGUGUGGCCAGACAAAUCGCAGAAAUUAUUGGAGUUAUAAGGUGAAGCUGACCGAACAGUUCCACGUGAACACCAUAUCCUUUUAAUGUGUGCUUAUUUCUGUAAAAUGAUAAAUGUCUCAUUUUAAUGUGCCAAUGUGAAAUCUUGAACCAUAUAUGUGUUAUGCUUAAAUUACUUGAUUUAUUAGAACUGCUUAGGUGUUUUGGAACCUUACUGGGCUGUUUAACUCAUUCCACGCUUUUGUUUUCCUUAACAGGGUUCAAGACCGAGAGUGUUCGCGAAUAGUACUAAAUUGUUUUCUUUAGAGAUUUUAAGUUGUGUUAUAGUAGAUGGUUGUAGUACAUAUUCUUUUGGGUUGUAUUUAAGUUUGAAAGUUAACUGUUGGUAAGUAUGAAAUGUUUUGGAAUACUUUAAAUGUAUAUUGAAAAUAUUUGAAGUAUUUCUAGUUUUUAAAUUAUGGAUUGUAGCGAGUCCUGACGAGAGUUGGGCAGGCGUUCCGCGAAUACCCUUGGGUUCGCCCUUGGGAGAGGUGGGGGUGUCACAAUUGCACCAUUUAAACACACUUUCAUGGGUUAAAUUUUGUUGAAAUAGCCAAUGCAUGCUCUUGGUGUACUAUGUAAAUUUUUUGUGAUUUUUGGACAUAUUAUCUAGGCAUUUUCUGGUUGAUUCUACAAAUGUUAGAAGGUUGUUUUCACUCUUCUUGAUUGAUUAAGGCUACUUAUAGGGCUGAACUGAAGCUUUGCUUGUGAUACUAGGUUGCAAUGGUGGAUUUUUUUUUUGUGAUUUUUGGCUGACAUCUUGUUGACCUUCAUGGCAAUUUUCCAGUAUUUUGUGGUGUUAUUUCAAGCUCCUUAGUUGCAUUUUGCAUAUUGAUUUGGUAUACUGGGGGUUUGUGUGGUAUUCUUUUGGCGGAUUAUCCGCAAAUAUUUUUGGAUUGAUUUUGAGGGGUACUUCUUUAUUUUGUGGUGAUUUUGACCAUGCCUCCGCGUACCAAAAAUGUUAGUGGGGCUCCCGCUUCUCGAAAACGGGUGAGGCCAACCAUGAGUGGAGGUAGUUCUAGUCGAACUCCACCUCAGUUUGACAAUUCUCAUUUCUUGAGUGCCAAAAAUGAGCAAUUGUAUUGGGAUAGAAUUGGUAAUUCUGUGUUAGUUGAGGUGGACUUAGGUGCUAAUUUUAAUAAUGUACAUCACGUUUGUGACUUGUUUGCUGAGUUUGGUUGCAGUCAAAUGUUGGAUUUACCUAUUGACUAUUAUCCUGGACUUGUUCAUCAAUUUUAUGCAAAAAUAAAGCAUAAGGAUAAGCUUAGGGGGGGAAUGCAUAACUCUCACUCGGCAAUUUUUAUCUGAUUUUUUGGGUGCUAAGAAUGAUGGGCCUCCGUUUGAACAUGGCAAGACUACCAUCACUUAUGACUCCAACCGAGUGUUUGAAACUACUUUGUAAACUAAUGAUCGAACCAAACACAUAAAGCUGAAAAUUUUCCAGCAACAAACUAUCAAGAAAACAACUUACCUCCUUCCAUACAAGACUAAGGUUGGAAAUAAAAUCAUGUUGAAUUGUGGCAUUGUUCUACCAACAAUUUUGGUUCGCUAAUCUGUAUUGUACACAAGUUUUGUUAUGGGCAUAAGUUUAGGAAAAUGAUGGCUCAAAGUGGUGAAUCAGACGUUACCUAAACUCACGAUUCUUUUAUAGGAUCUAGAUUUGGCUUAAUGGUCUGAAUUUGAAAAAUUUAACCCAAAUCUAAGAAAUACGAUGUGCCUAGAGUAGAUCUAAAUAAUUCUUGACCUAUUGACAGCCCUAGUGCAUACCAUUCAAUCUCUCUAGUAUGACAUCUUAAUUAUAGUGGAAAAUUAAAAUUUUACCAUUCUAAUUUGUUUUAUUUGAAACAUAUAGCAGUAGAAAAUUAAGAAUUUUAUCAUUAUAAUUUGUUUUAUUCGCAACAUAUUGUCAAUAACUCGAUACUUUCACAUAAAAUUAUCAUUCAACCUUAAAUGUGAUAUCUCUUGAACCUACAUUGUUACCAAGCCAUUUCAAACAAGGAAAAAGAACGGAUGCAUGUGAAUUAUUUUGUGAAUACUAGGUACCUACUUUAUUUGACUAUAUGCGAUUGCUCUUCAAAAUGGCUUGAGAACUCAAAUCCAAGAUCGAACGCAGUUAUAUUUCAAUACCACUACAAAUUUUGAUAAGAAAUGACUCCUCCAGUUCUUCUUUAGAUAUAGGGUUUUUAAAUCCCCAAUUUUAACUGCUUAAUAGCGUUUAAAAUUCAUCCUUCUUGCUCACAUGAAAAUUAAGUAGUAUUUUUUCUCUUUAUUUAACACUAUUAUCUAUUUUACUGAACUUGCUCAAUUGAUAAAUUUUCUAUAGCAUGUAAGCCUCUGAUUUGUGUGGUUUUAAAUUUCUUCCUUCUCCAUUUGAACCAACACACAAAGGAACAUGCCACCAUGAAAAAAAUAUAUAUCUAAAACCCUCAACACGGCCAACUAGAAAUUUUUAUCCCUACGUUUUCACAGUAUCAGCAUAUCCUCACUAUACUAAAAGUGCGCAUUGGAGUUGUUACAGUACUCAUGGACCGGUUAUCCGGUAAUUUUGAGCAACUUCGGUGGCGUUUUCAUAGGCAGAUAGACUGGUUAUGCUGUAAAUUUUGACAAUUCUAGUGGCAUUUCAUAGGCAUUUGUUUAGGCUUGCCCUCUUGCUCCAGAGUUCAGACGCUAGAAUUCUUUCCUCUCUCCCUCCAGUGGCAUUUUUUAGGAAGCAUAUAUGUGUCAUAUAUAUAAAGCUUAAUGCCCUUUACGGUGUUGCAUUGUUAGUUCUUUCUUCUUCUUUUUAUUUUUUUUUUUGCCUUUAUUAUAAAGGAUAAAAUGGAUUUAUUCUGUAACAAAAUAAUAAAAUAACAAUUUUACUAUAACUUCGAAUCUUCCCAUAUUUCUACAUUCAAUUUCUCCAUGUUUAUCUACUAUAUUUGACACACAUUUCUUCACUUUUUCUUUAUUAACAUCACCCAAAUUAAACCCAUGCACUUGUUUCCCCUAUAAUACUUCACUUUUAUAAGAGAAUUAUUAUUACAAAUAUUUUUAUUCUAAUUAGUUAUGUAAACAUCUAAGUGUGCCUUAAUCAGUAUUAUGUAUAACAAGAAAAGAUUUAUUGAACAUGUUUGAACUAAUUCUUGAUAAGAAAUUUCAGAAAAGUAAUGUACUACCUAACCUCUAGUUUUAGAUACUUUUAUUCAUAUUUUCUUCAUUCAGAGUUUUAGCUCUCUUGUCUAUGUAAUCUUGAGAGAAAGCCAUCUGAAAAGCAACAUAUUGAAUGUGUUUCUUUCUCCAAUUGAAGACCUGGAUUUGGCGAUUUUACAAGGUGAAGUCUUCACACUCUCACCUAACCGGUCUUGUUUAAACUUAUUUCAUUCUUGAUUAGAUACAAAUAGUAUGUGCAUAAUUUUAAAAGUGAUCAGCGUCACCAUAUUUAUCAUAUUUGUAUGUACUUGUACAUUUUAAAUGAAUGCAUCAUUUAUUUAUAGUAUCAAGAAUUCGCAAAGAUCUUAAGCCAAAAACUGACUAUCUAAGAGAAAAUUACAAAUCAAAUGAGUAAAUGAGUAACAGCAAUAUUCAAUUUACCUAAAGUCAAAUUCUCCACAUUUAUUAAUACCUAUCAUGUAUUAAAUAUAUAACCAAUUUACAUUAAUCCACUUGCCUUCAUUUGAUCUUGAUUAACAUAGGCUCAGGGCAUCCUCACGCAUCGCGUGAGGCUGAAAAAACUAGUGUAAAUAAAUACCAUAAAGGUCUGUGGCCAAGUCACCAUAGUAUUGGCAUCUAGAAGCUAAAUAUUCACUUUGCAAGUAGUAACAAAUACAAGAUAAAUAUUCAAUAACAACUUAUCAAAACCGGCCAAGGAAGAAUUGUUAGUCUUUCCCGUUAUUAUGUUCAGAGUUUGAAUCCUAUAUAAAAUAGUUGGAGGUAGAAAAAGUGUGAAAAAGGGUAGGAACGUUAAAAAAAAAAUACCAGAACCACUGGUGCCUUAAGAAUCAUUAGAGUAACUCUUAAUUAAGCAUCAAAUAUUAUACCUGUCAUCAUUGACAAUUAGAGUGAUAAAUUACACGUCACUUGUUCUCUUCUAUUGAGAAUUGUUAUCCAUUUACUCAUAAGUAUAUAGCUUGCCCACACAGUCAAGAAAGGAAUCAAAUAUGAUUACAUAACAAAAAAUAGAAAUUUUUAAUUCCUAUGAACAUACCUUACUUUGAUUAAAAUCCAGCGUUCAACAUGACAAAAAAGAAUAAUCCUCAUAAUGUUUAGGGUAAAUACGUGAGACCCCAUUGUGGUUUGUGUUAAAGUUAGCCCAAACCUCCGUGGUUCGGACAUUUCUACAAGUGCCGUUUAUGAUUCCUAACUGAUGAAUAGAAAAUGGAUGGAAACCAUCCAAAUCAACAAAGAGUGUAGUCCACUUGCCUUCUAUUCAAGUGUCAAUUAUCAAACACGAUUUUUUUUCAUAAAAUAGUCAACUUUUUUCCAAGAGUAUCCUUAUUUUAUUUUUCGAAAAAAUCACUCAAAUUGUUCCUCACAUUUCGCUUCACUCUAAAAUAUUAACUUUACAUCCCUUACAAAUUCAAGUUAACAAAUUUUGGUCCAAAACUAAAUUUCUAACCAUUUCUUAGCCUAAAAUCUCCAUGUGACCCACAUGCAGUCAUAUUUUGUGUACAAAAAUGUUAGAUUUCAUUUUUUUUAGUAAUAAAAAUGCUUAUGAAUUGGGUCCAAUUACUCCUUUUUAGAGAAAAAAAUUAAUAUAGUUUAGAUCAAAAUUUGCCUUUUUCAGGGUAAAAAUGAACAUGGAUUCAUUUAACUAUAAAUAGUAUCUAAUCUUUUUAUCUUAGAAAAAUAACGAUGUAUGAUUUACGUGACAAAUUCAAGAUAAAUAAUGGUCAAAAACAUAGAUUGUAACCAAAUUUUAUCAACUUGAGUUUGCAAAUGACGUAAAUUUAAUAUUUUAGAAAUGAAUGACAAAAAGAUUCAUUUUGUGGAAUAUGACAGAUAUUUUAAAUAAUUUUUUCUUUUUGUUUAAUUUAUCUACUGUAUCACUUCUCCUUGUCUUUUUCCAAUCGUUUCCUUUUUUUUUCUAUUUCAUUUUUUACAGUAUUUUCCCCUUUCCUUUCUCUCUUGCAUGUCCUCCUAAUUUGCUCCUUCCUCUCUUCUUUAGAUCUUUUCUUCUAUUUGGCUUCUUCCUUUCUUCUUUUUUCCACUUUCUUUCUUCUAUUUGUCCACCAAAUUUGAACCCAUCUCUCUCUCUCUCUCUCUCUCUCUCUCUCUCUCUCUCUCUCUCUCUCUCAGCUUUUUCUUAUGCUGAAAUAAGAUUCUUCCUCCAAAUCGUGAAGGGUUUCAUCGUCAUUGUCCUCAUUGUUGCUUUGGCAUCACUGUAGCUGCCGAAAGAAAGCAAAAUAAAUAAAUAAAAAGUAGGCGUUGAUUUGCUUGGAUUCAUGUUCAUCCACCCUUUCCCUUAUUAAAUUGGUGAUAUAAUGUUGUUCCAAGGGUCCUAAGGAUUGUUUUAGUAAAUUUUCUACAUGGAAUUUUGGUAGACAAAAAGAGAUAGACCCAUUUGGUUUUGUAGGAGGAUCGCAUUUAUUCAACCAUUUUUUUAACUUAACUUUGAAAUCGUGAUGUGCACGAAAUUAAAGUUUUUAAUGAUAUUUCUACAAAAUUUUACCACUAGUUGAUGGUGGCUAGUGGUUGAUAUUGGGAGCCGUGAAGAUUUGUGAAUCUACCAAUGGCGCUUGAACGUUUUGACCAGAAAAUGAGGAAGGAGGAAAAGAAAAGGUAGAAAAGAAAAAAGAGAGAGGAUGAAUAAAAUGAAAAAGUAAAGAAAAGGAAAAAUGUUAAUAAGAAGAAGGGCAAUAAAUAUGUUUCAAAUCUUUAUGUCGGUUUGAAUGAUAUUCAUCUAUUUUUCAUAUCAAUAUUAUAAGGUGGUCUUAUGAUUUUUUUUGAACUAUAGAAGAUUGGAAUAAAUUUUGCUCAAAUCACAAGGAAAUUUGUUUGUAUUUUACACCUAAAAUUUACCUUUUCUAAUGAAAAAGUUUGAUUCUGUAGAUAAUUUAUAUUGACCGUUUUUUAAUGCAGGUGUUAAAUCAAAUUUCCUUUUUUUAUUAGCAGGCCAUAUAGAUUUGGAAUUAUUACUCCCUUGUACUAAAAGACACGGGCAAUUGGAAGACUUGGAUACUUAGGAUUUUAUUCCAACUAUUUAGUUUCCAUUAGUUUCCUUUUUACCCAAACAAAGUGAUCCAAUUAGAGAAGGUUUAGAUAUUGAAGAUUCCAAGUUAUUCAUAUGAAAUUCGUCACAUAAUCCAAAUCCUCCCUCUAAUCUUAGCCCCAGAGUAAUUGGAAAUAAGUGACCCAUUUUUCCUUGCACAAAAAUCUAGUUGUUUAGUUACAUAAUUUAUGUGCCCCUUUUACCAUCAAUUAAAUACCAAUAAAAGUUUUGAUAAGUUCUUCUCGAAAAAAAAUUGCCAAAAGAAAAGAGCAAUUCAAGAAGGAAAUUAGCGUUGCUGAUGCAGAGGAUGAGCCGAACACAAACCGAGGAUAUCAGAGAGUCCGCUACAUAAAUUCACACCAGCUCAGCCAAAGCUUGAAAAACUUUUGGUUGUCAAUGAACUUUUCAAGCUUGGGUCUAUAAGCAUAAAUUUAUUUUUACCAGGAGAGUAAUCAAGUGGUGCAGCACAUUGAGCUCACCUUGACAGAAGCUUAUAUUAGUUUGAUGAGUUCAUCAAGCAAAUGAAAGUUCAAACACAACUUCAGACUAAAAAACUAAACCAAGCUUGAACCACAUCUCACCAACAAUCUCAGUACACAAUGAUGCAAAGACGAUUCCACAUAUGGAUGUCAGAAUGGGAUCGAGCGUUUUCACAUCUCACCGUAGCGUCCAGUUUAUUUUGAUUUCCGUGAAACUCUUCCUAUGUUACUUGCCCCCAGCUACAUGUCCUUUGGACCCUUCACCCACCCACCCGCCCGCCACCAAUGGAAGCAAAGCUAGCCCCCUAUGUUGGUUGGGGGAAGAGGGCAUUUCCUUCGUGAAGGAUUCAAUCAAGCCACAGGUUCCCCUACCACAAACCUUGUUAUGACCUCACCCCAGUUGAAGACCCCUACCGUGGUAUGUACCAAUAAAACCACCAAUAGCCUUUAUGGCACUAGCGUGACACAAAGCCUACUUCAACAGAAAAAAGAAGGCAGAAGCAAUGAAUAAUUCUACAAAAUGCUACUUUACAUAUAAGCUAAUAAUACACAAAGUACCUAGUAACAUUUGGCUCAUAUGCAGAUGGAGUGACAGAAAGGAAAAAAAAUCAAAGAAAAAGGAAGAUUCCUGGGUAAGCUGGUAUACCAAAGGAAAGUAAAAGUAAAGAUAGUUGUUCCUAGUGUUUAACAAUACUGUCCUAUUAAUAUACAAAAAGAGGUCUAAUCUUUCCACAAUGACUGCUCACUGCCGGGGUACAGGUGGAGUUGCUGACUGAUGACCUUGGGCAUAGAAUCCAAUACCUGGAGGCCGAUAAUAUCCACCAGCAGCUGCCUGCUGCUGCUGCUGAGACUGCUGGUUCUGAAGCUGCUGAGGAGGUGGUUGCUGAGUUGGUAAAGGAGCUGGCCUAGCAAAUCCCAUUGGCAUAUGUGGAGGCAAAGGUGGAGGUGGAAGGUUGCUUGAACCAUAUCCAUAGGGAACCCCUAUCAUCAUUGCAGCAGAUUGGCCUAACUGAGUUGCAGAAGAAUUUCCAGGUGUUACAGAUUGGGGCGGUGGCGGCGGCAGCGGUGGUGGUUGCGGGAAUGUUGCCUGAAGUUGGUUUCCCUGGGACAUAAGCUGCAUCCCAUUGGCUGCACCAACUGGCAUGUUACUUACUGUCUGCUGUGCAGAAGCAAAGAAUGCAGCAUGACUGCCAUCAGAAUGAUUCACCUCAGAAAAACGCACAGGAUUCUCUACCUUUGGCCUUUUCUCUGGGGAUCCAAAAGGUAAACUAGAAGAGAAUCCAGUUGAAGUUAAACCAUUACUCAUAGAGGCAACCUCUUCUGCAACAAGGGAUGAAAGAACAGAAGUAAGCAUCUGUGCAGAGGAUGUGGAAGCAGCAAGUUUUGCCACGACAGCAGCUGCUGCUGCCUUCUUAUUCUCCUCUUCAUUGAGUUUUGAAGAAUUAAAAGUUAUAGGAGGGGUUGGCGGAAGGAUAGGCGUGCUUGAUAACUGGGUCAAAGGCAAGCUUGCUUCAGCAACCCUUGCAGCCUCCAUAAGUUGGCUACCAGCAUUAGAUUGGGGAGCCAGAUAAGAUGAUGAUACCAGCUUCUGCUUUACACAUAAAGUUUGCUCUAUCUGACUGCGGGCCACCUGUAUGUGAAAUACAACUGUCACUAGGAAUACCAAAAAUGAACAGCCAAUUUUUUGUUGAAUAUUGCAUGAUAACUAAACUAUAUCACUUAACAGAACAUGUUACCUCCAUUCAACAAAAACAUGUUAUACCACUCAGCUGAAUAGAAGUUUUGAGCAGCACAGGAGGUGUCAGCCAAAAUGUAACCUAGGGAAUGCUCUAAAAUAUAGGCAAUGAGCAUUUUAGUAAUUUUCAAUUUUUCUUUAAUAUGAGCACUAUCAUACACACAACAUGAUGAAUUGUCAACCAUAUGUACAUUUUCUGUUAAACUUGCAGAUGUGAAGGGUCAGUUUAGAUUAAAAAAUAAAAAAGAAAAAACGACGGCAGUGAACAACCAUAAUACAUGUACCUGCCCCCACCGAUCCAAUUCUUCCCAAUAUUGACUUGUAAAUACUCAUUAUAGGUGUGUAGGUUACGAGAACUUUAAUGUUCUAAACAUUUUUCAAAUAUAAAUCUUAUAGAAAAAAUAGUAGUUAACCAACAAAACCACCACCCAAUCAAAUAGAUGACGCACUCCCAAUUUAAACCUAGAAACCAUGUCACAGCAACUAGAGAAAUUUGACGAUCAGUAGCUUAACAAAAACGAGACAAAUAUAAAAGAGCAAUUCACAAACUUAAAAAGUGGAACAUCACUAUUUAGCUAGCGCAGAACAUCGAAGUAAUUCAUCUAACCCACUACCCUUUUUUUCGGGGAGGGGGGAAGGGGGGGGGGGGGUUGGGGUCAUAAGGUAAUGUUAAAUCCCAUUUACCAGAUUAUAACAUUUCAUCCACACCCCUCUUCCUCUUUUAUUUUUCUGAAAUUCAGUUUAUUGACUCGUACAGAAGACAAGCUUGAUUCACAAAUAUGUAGAAAAAAAAUUCUGGACCACCCAAAAAAAUAUUAAUUCCUCCUUUAAGAGACACCCCAACAACAUGAUGCAGCCAUUAGUUGGAUUUAGAGAUAAAAACAGAUUUGCCGAAUAUAGGAGAAAAUAUUGGUUGUCAAGAGUAUAAUUAAAUAAACUGAUUUUCAGAUAGGAGAAUAAAGGAAGACCUAGUAACAAAACCCAGCUUAGGAAGUAACAGGGAGUCUUACCUCCAAUUCAUUGUGUAUCAGCUCCAGCUUUGAUUCCUGAAAAGCAACAAGCAGUCAGGAAAUAUAACACUCCAGAAAUGACACUAGACAACUAUAAAAGGCAUACUUGAUCUUGAAGUGCUUCAUUAAGCUGUGAAACCAAUGCAAGCCUAGUAGUUUCAAAAUUUUCUAGUUGAGUAACACAAUGCCUAAGGGCAUUCUCGUGUUCUUGCAUCUUUUCUACCAACUCUGAACCUUGCAGGCUUCCUGUCCAAUACAGAAGAACAGAUGCAAGAUAGUCAAAUUUUAUCAACAGUGAACAAGUUGCCAGUUGAUUGGUACAUCUAUUCCUAAUUUCUAUUCAUAACCUGAUACACACUUUGCAGAUAUAUGUAAUUUAGAGCUAUAAUGGUUAAGCUACAAUACUUUAAGAUGCAAAAAAAGAUCCUCUGUACAAUCUAGACUAGAUUUCACAUUUCACACAAUGCAAUAGCUAUCAACUGGCUCAGCAACAUCUUGCAAGUCAUUCAAAGCCCAAAACAGAAGCUUAAUGACAAGCAUGAAACUCUAUUUUGUGUAGAGGGAUCGACCUUGAUGAUUAAAAGAGUACCCUAGUGGUUAUUUCAUUUUCAUAUGCUAGUCAAGUUUAGAUUUUGAUACUUUGAAUCACCAACAACACCAUUAAAAAUCCACUCGGGUCAUGUACGAACAUGUUUACUACUUUAGAAUGUUAUGAAAUUUAAUGGAAUUUAUGUUGAGAUAUUUAUAUGCCAAAACAAAAUAUGGUAGGAUAAAUAUGGCAGAAAUCUUCUAGUUUUCUCUACCUGCUGACAACACAUGCUUUGCUAAAGUUCAUCUAUGCUUACAGUUUCAAGCCCAUAAUUAAGUUCAAAUCAGCCCCUAACACUAUUAGGAUGAGUUCUCAGCUGCUACAGCAGUAUGUUAGCUUCACCCCAGCCUAAUGACAGUAGAAUAACUGAUAUUUUCCUUAGGAUUUCUGGCUAAUUUGCUCCCCAUUUGUAUUUUACAUGAAGAUCUGUAAUUCAUUAUAUUUAAUGCCAACAUGUCAAAGUCCGGAUCCACUAUGAAUCAAUUUGCAAACUUGCACCUCCCACAUCAGAAACCGAAUAAUAAAAAUAUCAGCUAUGAACAUUCCAAGUGGAAAGAAAUUCUGAGAUUUUGUUUUGACUUGUGGCAUAGCAUACUUAAUAGAUGAUGAAAAAGAAUAGGCACAAAAGGUAGAGAGUGAACGUUAACAAAAUUCCAACUUAUGAAUUUUCUUGUUCUUCAAUGAGCAAAGAGGAUUGUCAAAUCAGUCAGAAGCUAUGUCCAUGUAAUUUAGCUGCUUAGACAAAGCCCCUCAAAGGGACUCAGGUAAUCCACAAAUGUAAGUUAGCUGCUUAGACAAAAUGCCUUCAACACCUGAGCUGUGACCUCCUCCUCCUCCCCCUCCCCCCCCCCCCCCCCCCCAAAAAAAAAAAAACACAGUUUCUUUUCUAGUAUUUUCAACAUCAGAGAGGUGCACCUUCUUGCAUCUUUUUUCUUUCCUUCUAUAGGAAAUCUAGCAUAAGAAAUCUUUGACUGUCACUCACACAAAUGUUGUCCAUGAUAUCAUGUAAUCACAUGUUCUAAACAAUCCAAAAACCCCCAACUCCAAAAUCUACAGCAGUUGAUCAGUGGACUGCCACUGAAUCUAGCACUGAUCGCAAAUUCAGAUUCCUUCCAUCACUAUCAAACAUCUCUUUCAAACAUGGGAUGCCACAAUCCAGUCACUUCUCCUAUACCAUCAUAUCAGGAAUUCUUAUCCUGGAUAUCCUGUGAUACUGAAACUCUGCUAAACACUGUCCCAUAAUCCAAACGGCAAGUUCAUUCAAUUCCUUCAUCUUGCAUGACAUACUUUAUCUGCACUGCGACACCUAGAUUCCACUGAUGGAUUUGUAAACCUGACUUCUCAUUCUUCAUACUUCAUACUUAAAACUAGAAAUGACUUCUGACUUCCUCCCUGAAGGAACCUGACAAACCAUUUCUUGGUGAAGUCUUGGUUGAUAACUACAACAUUCUCUAACCCAUAAUCCUCCAUGAUUCUAAGCACUGGUACUUGCUAAUUGAUAAUCAAAUGUUACUUGCAACUACCAUUUGGUUCUUCACAAAUGCAAGCUCUUCAGCUUCUGAUUCUUUUUUAGCCACAGUUCCAGGGGUCCCGAACAUGUAAAAAAUGAGUAAAAGAGGUAAAAGUAAAAAUAAAAAAGGAAGGCAACCUUGAUCACACUAAUCCAACUUCCCCUUUAUCUAAUCUUUUUCCAGAAAGUUAAGCUUCAUAGAGAGAAAAGAUAAUCAUUAUACAAUCGGAAUUGGAUUAUGAAGUAUAUCCAGAAAAACCAGGAGAUGAGGGGCGCGAUAAUCACCAAAAGAAGCAAACUGGCCAAACAAAAGUAAAGGCCAAGUUUUCGUGCCCAUACAAAGCACCACAUAGCCAUCCACAGUAGUAUGACAGCUAAAUUGCUAGCGCAGCUAAAGCUUCAAAGUGUACCUGUUCUUGUCACAGAGAUGAUCAGAAGCAGUGUUUGGUAACCUCCUAACAACUUCAGUUAUUUGGUCAAAAACCUACCAGUGUUUUUUUUUUUUUUUUUGGAGAAGUUAAUGAUAUGUUUAAGAUGCACCAAGAGGGUACAGCUAAAGAUAAACUAGUAAUCUUCUUACACAGUUAUGAGCCCCAUCUAAAACAAAAGGUAUACUAUAAGCUGAGUAGUCCAAAGGUAAGGGCCAGAGUUGACAUUUUCGUUGUUCCUAAUUUUGAUGGCCUCCAUAGAAAAAUGUAUUUUACCUCUCUCCUUGGUUUCCAAAAGAUACACAAUGGGAACAUACACGUGGAAAUUCACAAGGCACGCAUUUACUUUCAGCUCUUUCAGGUGUAACUCCAACUAGCAAGAUUUUCUUAACCAUGCCAGAAGCACACCAAGCAAAUAUUUCCGUUGCUUGAUAAGGGAAAGGUACGCAUUACAAUACCUGUGUAACCUAACUACCAUAAUUAUAUUCAAUACACACUAGAUCAGUUUUUUACCAGAAACCAGAAGGGAAAAGUAUAAUUGAAAUCUUGCAGAAUCGCAACCAAACAAGAGAGCAGUCUGAAAACUCGUAACACCACGUACCCACUUUCUAGAUUGUGCAUGAAACUCAAAUCCUCAACAUGUACUUAAUCAACCCUCUGAGUGCACUCAGAAAAGUCAAAUUACUACAAAACUAGAACAAAAAAAUUGAAUGUCAAAAACUGAUAAACACAACUCAAUUGGUGUCACACUGAGUAAACAGUGAUGCAUGACCAAUCACUCCCAGAAGGCUUCCUCUUCCUAUGUAGGCAUCCAAAAGGAUGUAACCAUAAAAAAUUUAACUGAUUCACAGUCAGGACUAAAUGAAUUUCCAAAAAAAUAUUCAACUCAUUAACAAUAUAAGUGUUUCUUGGAAUAUGAUGGAUUUGGACCUUGGAUGAUCCAAUCAUUGCAUGUGCCCAAUUGACUUGAGCUUAGCAUAUGCCAAACAAAUUUUGGGCCCUAACGUUGUUUGGCCUUUACGGCUUCAAAUAAGUGUAGUUCACAAAUUUGGCACUUGUUCUCAUUGCUGCUGAAAAAGCUGCAAGGAUGCCUUUGUCGUUCCCCUUAUGAUGGUGGAAUAACUAUCAACUUCAUUAUUGUGGUAAAAGGUAAUACUGGCAAGAGGGGGGAGAGAGGAAGAGAGAGUGGGAGAGAGACAACGGAAUCCUUUGGUAGGUCAGUUUCAUUUAGCCACAUUAAACGACUGAGGGAAGCUGGUCUGUGACAAGCACAUCUGUUGUAGUGUUGUCAUAGUGCUGUGUCAAAUCGAGAAUUUUCAACAACUGAAGGUAACUAAGAACAACAUUAAACAGGCAAGGAAGUUGGUCAACAGGCUCAAGUAAAAGAGCUUACAAAAAAUUAGAUACUUUACCGGUUCAAACUGUAGGAAGAUCAGGAAAAGUUUAAACCAUUUCCCACAGGAUUAUCAAAUAGCAAUGCAGAGGCCAGAAGCCUGACUAUGUGCAUUAUAGGAAUUGUUCAAAGAUCACCAAUAAGUUCCUUUCUGUAACCCUAAGGAACAUGAUGUUCUACCAACUUUUCUGGGCCUAGAUUUUUUCAAUUGUACCUUCAAAUAAUUUGUAGAUGUAGGGUAUCAUUUCUCCAUUUUACCACUUGAGACUCAAGGGGUUCACUCGUUCCAUAUUGAGUCUUCCACAAUUCCCAGAACCCAUUCAAGUUCCCAUACACAUAGAACUUUUACUUUAAAAUACAUUCCAAAAACUUCUUUAUAAGAUUUACAUGACCAACAUACAACUCUGUGCCCAUACAAACCUUACUAGUGUAAGAAUAGAAACCCAAAUAGGAACUAUAACACUACAUUAUAAAAUAAUGUUGAGAUCGAUUCUAAAAACCAGUUACUCUAGGAUUAAAGUUUAAAUGAGUAUAAUGGAAUAAAAUUGUCCUCAAUUUAAAAGUGUUACAAGUACUUACCAUGUAACAAGAUGUAAUCAAACUUGGACAUUAUAAAAUGAGAACAAAUGAACAAUAUUCCAACUAUUCAACCUAAUCAUCAUUUUGUCAAAUAUAUUACUAACAAGCUAUUAGUUCCUCAAAAUAUAAUACAACACAGUAAUGGCAUGUCAUUAACUUAACCUACAGGAAGUAAUUCUUUAUCACCAGUUUUGCGUCCAGACAGAUACACUACUCCAACCUGUUUAAUUAGCAACAUUAUCCGAAUAAUUAAGUUUGACGAUUUUGGAAUGGUGGAUUUUAUGGAUUUUCAUGCAGUUUCACUUAUAAAUUUGAUGUAUUCUUAAAUUCUAAAAUAAUAAUUCUAGUGCCAUGUCUUCUUAGAAUUCCAGGAUUCAAAGGAGAUUUAUAUUAUUGCAGCAAAUGCUGAAUAGAUAGUCCUACAGGCACAUAAAGUCACAUGACACAGCACAAUAGCUUGGAGGCCAGAUAGGCCUAGGGCUUUAAAACUCGCAGUCAAUAGCAAAAUUAUAGGCAAAUAGCAGGUACCAAAAUUCACUAAAAGUCAGAUC